CCUACGGGAGGCUGCAGUGGGGGAUAUUGCACAAUGGGGGGAACCCUGAUGCAGCGACGCCGCGUGGGUGAAGGAGCGUUUCGGCGCGUAAAGCCCUAUCGGCAGGGAAGAAGAUGACGGUACCUGACCAAGAAGCCCCGGCUAACUACGUGCCAGCAGCCGAGGUAAUACGUAGGGGGCAAGCGGUAUCCGGGUUUACUGGGUGUAAGGGGGUCGAUGAGGGGAAUGCUAGCCAGGAGCGAAAGCCCGGGGCCCAACCCCGGGACUGCUGUUGGAACUGCGUGGGUGGAGUACAGGAGGGGCAGGCGGAAUUCGUGGUGUAGCGGUGAAAUGCGUAGAUAUUAGGCAGAACACCGGUGGCGAAGGCGGCCUGCUGGAGUAUGACUGACGUUGAGGCCCGAAGGCGUGGGGAGCGAACAGGAUUAGAUACCCCGGUAGUC
rnacentral:rRNA from 1 species